rnacentral:rRNA from 1 species
AAUGAACGCUGGCGGCAUGCCUAACACAUGUAAGUCGAACGGGACCAUCGGGAGUAGUGGCGCACAGGUGCGGAACGCGUGGGAACGUGCACGAAGGCUCGGAAUACUUCCUCGAAAGGGGUGCUAAUACAGGAAAACGUAUUCGGACAAAAGAUUUAUCGCCUGGGGGAGGGCAGGGGUUGGAUUAGCUAGUUGGUAGUGUAAAAGCCUACCAAGGCGACGCUACUUAGCUGGUCACAGAGGCUGAUACGCCACUCUUGGACUGGGACACGGCCCGGACUCCUACAGGAGGCGGCAGUGGGGAAUACUGGAAAACCGGCGGAGGCCUGAUGCAGUUCUGCCUCGUGAGCGCUGAUGUCCGUAGAGUAGUAAAGCACUUUAACCCGGGAUGAUAAUGACGGUACCGAAAGAAUAAGCACCGGCUAACUUCGUG